rnacentral:rRNA from 1 species
GACGAACGCUGGCGGCGUGCUUAACACAUGCAAGUCGAACGGAAAGGCCCUGCUCUUGUGGGGUUCUCGAGUGGCGCACGGGGGAGUAACACGUGAGUAACCUGCCCUUAACUUUGGGAUAACUUCAGGAAACUGGGGCUAAUAUCGGAUAUGAGCUCCUGCUGCAUGGUGGGGGAUGGAAAGUUUCGGCGGUUGGGGCUGGACUCGCGGCUUAUCAGCUUGUUGGUGUGGUAGUGGCUGACAACGGGUUUGACGGGUAGCCGGCAUGAGAGGUUGACCAGCCUCAUGGGGCCUGCGAGACGGCGCAGACGGCUACGGGAGGCAGCAGUGGGGAAUAUUGCACAGUGGGCGGAAGCCUGAUGCAGCAACGUCGCGUGCGGGAUGACGGCUUUCGGGUCGUAAACCGCUUUGGCAUGUGACGAAGCGUGAGUGACGGUAAUGGGUAAAGAAGCCCCGGCUAACUACGUG